CCUUAUCCUCUCUGCAAGCUUCUUCCCCAUCUCCGUAACCCUGAAAAAAAUUCAGUGCUUUAAAUGCUACGUGAAACACAUUUUGUUAGUUAAGGAGAAUAAAAUAGACGUGGGUUUAGGGAAGCCACCAUUGUUAACACUGGCAACACAAAUAUUGGAGAGAAGGACAGGUAAAAGGAAUGUGUACAGAGUAUAUUCGAAAAGCUUCCCAUUGAUCCGCCUUCUUGCUAGCAUUCGAAGUUUGCUUCCAGUUAUGUCGCGAAAGGAGCCCUAAUUUAAGUCUUGCUAGCGGGGAGAUCGACUCCGGGUUGCUCUUUGUUCGUGUUUGAAUUCUUGGCACAGAAAGGAACAGUUGCUAUUGGUGGGAGUCGGCUUUUUAGGGUUUCAUAAGGGAAAAUCCUUGUAGAAUUCACGGUCCAUGGAGAUGGUGGUUGGGCUCUGGUUCUCGACUGCGGCGGUGGGUCUCAAAUCUGCCUCUUUGGUCGCGAAUGGAGUGUUUUCGGCAGUUGGUUUGGCGGGUAUCCAUGGUGUCGUGGAGAGCUCCGAUCAGUGUAUUAGCGGCUGAGGGCUUCAGAGGUUUCUUUGCUUGAAGACUUGCCUAGCCAAAGGAACUGACAUGUGUCAUAUCCGGCGGUGAUGUCAUGUGGAGGCUUGUUGUGUCACAAAAUCGCAGUUUUCGUCCAUGGCUUCUCUGGUAUGAUGCGUGCAGCUUCCUUCUCAUCUGACUUUCUUCUUCCUGGUGCUUAUGUCUGGUUCAUUGCUGAAGCCCUGUCGACGGGUUUCUUUGGUUAUUCAGGUCAUGUCGUUAUUUGGUUCUGUUUCGUUGUCACGGGGACUUUUAUCUUGGUUUCCGAAUCCGGUUCUCGGAGGAGGUGACUGGCGUAAUCGUGGUUGACGCUUGAGUAUGUGUUCACCUCUUUCUUACAGUUACACUAGUCGGAGUGCCAUAUCCCAUUUCUGUUAGCCACGCUUGUUGCUCUUAGUAAUUUUCCUUUCUAACACCAUUUUUCAGGUCAUAGAGCUCUUCUCGGGUUAUGUGCAGAUGUAUUAUUUUUUCCGGUUUUAUGCAUUCCGUUAUUGACGGAGGAUAUCGUUCAAUUCUUCUGUUAGUGCAAGUUAGGUGAUGGAGACGAGACUGUACAAUCAAAUUCUUCACAAUCUUCGAUUUUGUGUAUUUCCCUCUCUCUUCUCUAUUUCGUGUGCGCUUCAAUGCUGGUAAUGAUAACAAGUUAGAAGAACACGUCGAAAGCUAGCUAACUCUGGAAACGACACGGAAAUUUUCGUCAUCCGAGGCAAGAAGGUCAAUCUCACCUUAUGUGAUCAUCGUCGAAAGUGGAGAACAGUAAUCGAUGCUUGAGGAUAUUAAAUCUGAACUAGCGAACGCGCCGGGAGUGAUGGGUCGAGCGAAGCUAGUUUAGGAAAUAAUUGAAUUGGGUGCUUUUUUUGUAAUUCAACUUGUAAUCGAACUUUUAUUCCCGUCUUUCGGGUUGAUAUUUAAUAAAUUUAAUUUAAAAUAAUAAUAAUAUUAACCCAGAGAAAAAAUCCAA